rnacentral:rRNA from 1 species
GAUGAACGCUAGCGGCAGGCUUAAUACAUGCAAGUCGAGGGGCAGCAUGAUUGUAGCAAUACAAUUGAUGGCGACCGGCAAACGGGUGCGGAACACGUACACAACCUCCCAAUAAGUGGGGAAUAGCCCAGAGAAAUUUGGAUUAAUACCCCGUAACAUAACGAUGUGGCAUCACAUUGUUAUUAUAGAUUUUUCGCUUAUUGAUGGGUGUGCGGCUGAUUAGAUAGUUGGCGGGGUAACGGCCCACCAAGUCUACGAUCAGUAGCUGAUGUGAGAGCAUGAUCAGCCACACGGGCACUGAGACACGGGCCCGACUCCUACGGGAGGCAGCAGUAAGGAAUAUUGGACAAUGGACGCAAGUCUGAUCCAGCCAUGCCGCGUGAAGGAUUAAGGUCCUCUGGAUUGUAAACUUCUUUUAUAAGGGACGAAAAAAGGCUUUUCUAAGUCGUCUGACGGUACCUUAUGAAUAAGCACCGGCCAACUACGUGCCAGCCGCCGCGGUAACAC